rnacentral:lncRNA from 10 species
CUUUAGGAUGGAUUCCAAAGAUGUGGAAUCAGUAGGUUUAAGGAAUAUGGAUAUUUUGGCUGGCAAGGUGGCUCACACCUGUAAUCCCAGCACUUUGGGAGGCUGAGGUGGGUGGAUCACCUGAAGUCAGGAGUUCGAGACCAGCCUGACCAACAUGGCGAAACCCUGUUUCUACUAAAGACACACAAAAAAUUAGCCAGUGGUGGUGGCAUGUGCUUGUAGUCCCACUUAGCUACUCGAGAGGCUGAGGCAGGAGAAUCGCUUGAACCCGGGAGGCAGAGGUUGCAGUGAGGCAAGAUGGCACCUCUACACUCCAGCCUGGGUGACAGUGCAAGACUCCAUCUCGGAAAAAAAAACGAAAAAGGAAUAUGGACAUUUUAAUGUGGUAUAGGCCAUGUAUAAGGCCUAUAGGUUUUUAUUUGUUUUGGUUUGGUCUUGUGAGGUAAAAUGAGUUGCACUCUUUUGAUUUCUUUGGAAUUUUCUUGUUUGAAUUAUAUGGCUGCUACUGCUUUAAAGAGUCAUCAUGUUGUUUGGUUAUGCUUUUGAGUGUCUUGAUUUGUAUUUUAAUCAUCAUUUUCUCUCCUUUUCCAGGCCAAAUUAAAGAAGCGGAAGCCUCGGGUAAAGAAGGAAAACAAAGUGCCCAGGCUGAAAGAGGAGCAUGGAAUUGAGCUUUCAUCUCCUAGGCAUUCAGAUAAUCCAUCAGAAGAGGGAGAAGUGAAAGAUGAUGGCUUGGAAAAAAGUCC